AAUAAGACUUAUCUAAUUGCGUCUACGGUUGUAUUUCCAAGAAUAAGACUUAUUUAAUCGCCAUUUUCGGGUUGAUCUACGACUUGUGCAGACUUAAACUAUGAAUGAUAUUCAACCUCGCACAGAUUACUGGUGGAGCGACCCUUAUCCAUAUAACCGCACUGUUCAAGCUCAACCUCGUACACGGUACUGGUUGAACUACAUUAGAUUUCCAUCUUACCGCAGCUAUGCUGAUAACCCUCAUAAUCGUCGACUAGGAAGGGUUGGCAUGCCUCAUGGAACCAUGGUAGAAUAUGGAAACGUGGUAGUAUAUGAGACAGAAAAUGAACCCGAAAAUGAAAUGACGUCAUGCCAGAUCUUGUUUUGGUUAGCUCUAAUUAUAGCAUUGUGGCCCUUCCUUAUACUUAUACUUUUUGUAUAUAUUAUUAUUCGUAUAAUAGUAUGGGUUAACAAUUAGUUACUACUUACAUCGAUAUUUUUGUAGUUUAUACAUUAGUAUUUGCUAAUUAAAAGUAAUGUUUAAUGUACAUCAAAUAAUAAUAUAUUAAUAGAUUAAGAUGUAUACAUGUAAUUAUGGCAACAAACAGAGCAUGGGAAUAUAAUGUCAAAAAUGAUUUUAAAAAAUGUUUGCUAGUGGGAACAAUAUUGUUCAGAUUUGAAUUGAAAUUGGCAGAUAACACUGUAUAAUAAAUAGACUUCAAAUAUA